GAUGAACGCUAGCGAUAGGCUUAACACAUGCAAGUCGAGGGGCAGCAUGGUCUUAGCUUGCUAAGACUGAUGGCGACCGGCGCACGGGUGCGUAACGCGUAUGCAACUUGCCUCACAGAGGGGGAUAACCCGUCGAAAGACGGACUAAUACCGCGUACACUCCAUCUUGGGCAUCCAAGGUAGAGGAAAUGAAAUUCGCUGUGAGAUAGGCAUGCGUCCCAUUAGCUAGUUGGUGAGGUAACGGCUCACCAAGGCGACGAUGGGUAGGGGAACUGAGAGGUUGAACCCCCACACUGGUACUGAGACACGGACCAGACUCCUACGGGAGGCAGCAGUGAGGAAUAGUGGUCAAUGGGCGAGAGCCUGAACCAGCCAAGUCGCGUGAAGGAUGACUGUCUUAUGGAUUGUAAACUUCUUUUAUACGGGAAUAACAAGAGUCACGUGUGACUCCCUGCAUGUACCGUAUGAAUAAGCAGCGGCUAACUCCGUG
rnacentral:rRNA from 1 species